rnacentral:rRNA from 1 species
AUUGAACGCUGGCGGCAUGCCUUACACAUGCAAGUCGAACGGUAACAGGUCUUCGGAUGCUGACGAGUGGCGAACGGGUGAGUAAUACAUCGGAACGUGCCUAGUAGUGGGGGAUAACUACUCGAAAGAGUGGCUAAUACCGCAUGAGAUCUACGGAUGAAAGCAGGGGAUCGCAAGACCUUGUGCUACCAGAGCGGCCGAUGGCAGAUUAGGUAGUUGGUGGGAUAAAAGCUUACCAAGCCGACGAUCUGUAGCUGGUCUGAGAGGACGAUCGACCACACUGGGACUGAGACACGGCCCAGACUCCUACGGGAGGCAGCAGUGGGGAAUUUUGGACAAUGGGCGAAAGCCUGAUCCAGCAAUGCCGCGUGCAGGAUGAAGGCCUUCGGGUUGUAAACUGCUUUUGUACGGAACGAAAAGCCCUGGGUUAAUACCCUGGGGUCAUGACGGUACCGUAAGAAUAAGCACCGGCUAACUACGUGCCAGCAGCCGCCGCGG